rnacentral:rRNA from 1 species
CUCCGGUUGAUCCUGCCGGACCUGACUGCUAUCGGAUUGGUACUAAGCCAUGCGAGUCAUUGUAGCAAUACAAGGCGGACGGCUCAGUAACACGUAGUCAACCUAACUCGUGGACGUGGAUAACCUCGGGAAACUGAGAAUAAACCACGAUAGAUCAUAGUGCCUGGAAUGGCUUAUGGUCCAAACAGUUUACUGCCAUGGGAUGGGACUGCGGCCUAUCAGCUUGUUGGUGAGGUAAUGGCCCACCAAGGCGAUUACAGGUACGGGCUCUGAGAGGAGAAGCCCGGAGAUGGGUACUGAGACACGGACCCAGGCCCUAUGGGGCGCAGCAGGCGAGAAACCUUAGCAAUGUGCGAAAGCACGACUGGGUCAGUCCGAGUGAUUCCUGAUAAAGGAGUCUUUUGCUUGUCCUAAAAGCACAGGUGAAUAAGGGGUGGGCAAGUCUGGUGUCAGCCGCCGCGGUAAUACCAGCACCUCGAGUGGUCAGGACGUUUAUUGGGCCUAAAGCAUCCGUAGCCGGCUCUGCAAGUCUUCGGUUAAAUCCACCUGCUCAACAGAUGGGCUGCUGGAGAUACUACAGAGCUAGGGAGUGGGAGAGGCAGACGGUAUUCAGUGGGUAGGGGUAAAAUCCUCUGAUCCAUUGAGGACCACCAGUGGCGAAGGCGGUCUGCCAGAACACGUUCGACGGUGAGGGAUGAAAGCUGGGGGAGCAAACCGGAUUAGAUACCCGGGUAGUCCCAGCUGUAAACGAUGCAAACUCGGUGAUGCAUUGGCUUAUGGCCAAUGCAGUGCCGCAGGGAAGCCGUUAAGUUUGCCGCCUGGGAAGUACGGACGCAAGUCUGAAACUUAAAGGAAUUGGCGGGGGAGCACAAA